rnacentral:tRNA from 1 species
GACUUCGUGGUUUAAUGGUAGCACACUCGACGCAUACUCGAGAGUUACAGAUUCAAGUCCUGACAAGGUCA